AUAUGAGCAUGAAUAUUGGAGCUAAAAUUUGGUGCCAUGAUUUUGGGAAUUUUCGGCCAAAUCCAAAGGGUGAUUUUUUGGGUUCUUGUUUGACUUGUUAAAAGUGUUUUCAAGUGACUUUUGGAACCCCUAUGUACCCUAGUUUGGUUAUAUGUUAUUUCCCUAAAGUUUGAAUGGUUUUGGAAUGUUUUUGGGUGAAAAAUGUUCAUGGAAAAUUUUUGAGUUUUUCAUGAAUGUUCUUCAUUGUUCUUGACAUUUUUGCCAAGAACAAAAAGUUUUGUGUUUUGAUUCAAAGUUUUGAUUUAUUUCAUAAAGUUUAUGUUUUAUGUUUUUCAAAUGUUUAAAUGUUUUAGAUAUUUGUUUAAAUGGUGAUAGAAAUAAUGGUGGGUGUGAAAGGAUUAAUUCCCUUUCACACACACCACUUGUGCACUUGCAUGCUUUAUGUCAAAACUCACAAAUCAACACACACAUCACUCACAUCUCCUCUCCAAAACCGGCCACCCUACAUGUAGGGUACUUUUGGGGCUUUUAUGCAAUUACAUAAAGUUUUGAUACUUUUGUGUAUUUGCACUUUGGCCCAAAAGUUUACGUUUUUACGUUUAGGUCCAAAAACGCUAAAGGACAAAAUGUUUUGAUCCUUUAAUGAAGUUUUUGCAUUGUUUAAAUUUUGGGUUCUAGUGUAAUUACAUGAAGUAGUGGACUUUUGUGUUCUUACAAAGUGACCCCAAAAGUUUAUGUUUUUGCAAUAUUGCCCAAAGGUUGUGGUAAUUGCAUUUUGGCCCAAAUUAGGUUGAGAACAAAAUUGUUUUGUCUCUUUAAAUGAGAAUUGGAUUUUCAUUUCAUUAGCUCCAUUUAAAUCAAUUUUAUGGAUACAAAAACCAAAUGAAAAUGUUGCAUUCUAUUUAAUUAGUUAAAGUGUUAAUUAAUUAAAGGAUGAUUAUGAACCUAAGCCUAAUAUAAUUGAGCUA
rnacentral:lncRNA from 1 species